UACGAAGGGGGCUAGCGUUGCUCGGAAUUACUGGGCGUAAAGCGCACGUAGGCGGCUUUCUAAGUCGGGGGUGAAAUCCUGGAGCUCAACUCCAGAACUGCCUUCGAUACUGGAGAGCUUGAGUCCGGGAGAGGUGAGUGGAACUGCGAGUGUAGAGGUGAAAUUCGUAGAUAUUCGGAAGAACACCAGUGGCGAAGGCGACAUACUGGCUCAUUACUGACGCUGAGGCUCGAAAGCGUGGGGAGCAAACAGG
rnacentral:rRNA from 1 species